ACCACGCAGACAUCCUGGGGAACUGAGAGCCUACAACAAGGAGAUUCCCUGAUGGACCUUCGAGCCAGUCCUCUCCAGCUCUUCCCUUGAAGAGAAAUGAUCAGAGAGGUGCCAGGGAUUGAACUUGGAUCACCAGGCUUGGAGGCAAGCACCUUUGACAUACUAAGCCACUGCCGUCCAUAAGAACAUUACACAAAGACCUGGAAUCUUCAAAGCCAAACUGUGUAUGAUACACAGAAGUGGGAAAGAGGCAAAUCAUUUAUUUGUUACUGGGUAUUUUUUCUUGUGGGAAAAAAGUUUUUUGUUAAUUCACUCAACACAUUUAUUGAGAGAUGCAAGCCAUCAAAGAAAUGGCCCCUCCAGAAACUAGACACUACAGACCAAGGGUGAACGCCUAGACUGGAUCACCGCAGCUCAGGAAGAGGCUGCAGAAACAG
rnacentral:lncRNA from 1 species